AUUGAACGCUGGCGGCAUGCCUUACACAUGCAAGUCGAACGGUAACAGGUCUUCGGAUGCUGACGAGUGGCGAACGGGUGAGUAAUACAUCGGAACGUGCCUAGUAGUGGGGGAUAACUACUCGAAAGAGUGGCUAAUACCGCAUGAGAUCUACGGAUGAAAGCAGGGGAUCGCAAGACCUUGUGCUACUAGAGCGGCCGAUGGCAGAUUAGGUAGUUGGUGGGAUAAAAGCUUACCAAGCCGACGAUCUGUAGCUGGUCUGAGAGGACGAUCAGCCACACUGGGACUGAGGCACGGCCCAGACUCCUACGGGAGGCAGCAGUGGGGAAUUUUGGACAAUGGGCGCAAGCCUAAUCCAGCAAUGCCGCGUGCAGGAUGAAGGCCUUCGGGUUGUAGACUGCUUUUGUACGGAACGAAAAGCCCUGGGUUAAUACCCUGGGGUCAAGACGGUACCGUAAGAAUAAGCACCGGCUAACUACGUGCCAGCCGCCGCCGUAAUAC
rnacentral:rRNA from 1 species